rnacentral:rRNA from 1 species
UACAGAGGUCCCAAGCGUUGUUCGGAUUCACUGGGCGUAAAGGGUGCGUAGGCGGUCGGGUAAGUCUGAUGUGAAAUCUCACAGCUUAACUGUGAAACUGCAUUGGAUACUAUUCGGCUUGAGAGUUGGAGGGGGGACUGGAAUUCUUGGUGUAGCAGUGAAAUGCGUAGAUAUCAAGAGGAACACCAGUGGCGAAGGCGGUCUCUGGGCCUUACCUGACGCUGAGGAGCGAAAGCGUGGGGGAGCGAACAGG